rnacentral:rRNA from 1 species
UACGUAGGGUGCAAGCGUUAAUCGGAAUUACUGGGCGUAAAGCGUGCGCAGGCGGUUCGCUAAGACAGCUGUGAAAUCCCCGGGCUUAACCUGGGAACUGCAUUUGUGACUGGCGGGCUAGAGUAUGGCAGAGGGGGGUAGAAUUCCACGUGUAGCAGUGAAAUGCGUAGAGAUGUGGAGGAAUACCGAUGGCGAAGGCAGCCCCCUGGGAUAACACUGACGCUCAUGCACGAAAGCGUGGGGAGCAAACAGG